UUUUUCUGCUAUUCUGCAAAAUUACUCCUUCGUUGACUAGAAUGAAUCAUUAAAUAGAAAAUUUUAUGAGAAUUAAAACAAUGUUAUUUUUAAGAUUAAUAUGCAGUCAGAAAGUUUUAUAAUUAUUAUUUAUUGUAAAUUUAUCAGAAAAACUCAUUAUUUUUUGCAUUUUUAUCGUAAUAGAACACUUAAAUAGAAAUCAUAGUAAUCAUUUCUAAGUAAUUUUUGAUAUUUAAAAAGAUUCUACUAUUGAAAUAUCCAGAACUGAAUUAAUUUUAAUGAUUUACUUUAACUAAAAAAAAAAAAUUAAUAUUUUGAAUCCCUCUUGUGGGCAGGUAAAGGGUUAGAUUUAUAAAAAAAACCAAAUGA